rnacentral:rRNA from 1 species
GCUCAGUAACACGUGGACAACCUGCCCUAAGGUGAGGGAUAACCCCGGGAAACUGGGGAUAAUACCUCAUAAUCUACAGAUGCUGGAAUGCCCUGUAGGUAAAAGGUCAGCCGCCUUAGGAUGGGUCUGCGGCCGAUUAGGUAGUUGUUGGGGUAAUGGCCCAACAAGCCUGUAAUCGGUACGGGUUGUGGGAGCAAGAGCCCGGAGAUGGAUUCUGAGACAAGAAUCCAGGCCCUACGGGGCGCAGCAGGCGCGGAAACUUUACAAUGCAGGAAACUGUGAUAAGGGAACCCCGAGUGCCCGUAUGGACGGGCUGUUCAGGUGCGUAAAAAACACCUGGAGAAAGGGCCGGGCAAGACCGGUGCCAGCCGCCGCGGUAAUACCGGCGGCUCGAGUGGUGGCCACUAUUACUGGGCUUAAAGCGUCCGUAGCUGGGUAGUUAAGUCUCUUGGGAAAUCUUCCGGCUCAACCGGAAGGCGUCUAAGGGAUACUGGCUACCUAGGGAUCGGGAGAGGUGAGAGGUACUCUGGGGGUAGGAGUGAAAUCCUGUAAUCCUUAGGGGACCACCUGUGGCGAAGGCGUCUCACCAGAACGACUCCGACAGUGAGGGACGAAAGCUGGGGGAGCAAACCGGAUUAGAUACCCGGGUAGUCCCAGCUGUAAACUAUGCGUGUUAGGUGUAUCGGUGACCACGAGUUACCGAGGUGCCGAAGGAAACCGUGAAACGUGCCGCCUGGGAAGUACGGUCGCAAGG